AUUCCAUGGUGAGGACAAUUUUUAAUCAUCAUAUUAAAUCGCUCGAAAGCUUCAUGAAACAUCUCGCCUUGUUGUUGUUGAAAACUCCUCAAUCCCUUUCUUGCAUC
rfam:Helianthus annuus linkage group 4, whole genome shotgun sequence.